UUUUUUUUUUUUUUUUUUUUUUUUUUUUUUUUUCC
rnacentral:ribozyme from 1 species